UACAGAGGUCCCAAGCGUUGUUCGGAUUCACUGGGCGUAAAGGGUGCGUAGGUGGUGAACUAAGUCGGGUGUGAAAUCUCCGGGCUCAACCCGGAGCGUGCGCCCGAAACUGGUUUGCUAGAGGAUAGGAGGGGAGACUGGAAUUCUCGGUGUAGCAGUGAAAUGCGUAGAUAUCGAGAGGAACACCGGUGGCGAAGGCGAGUCUCUGGACUAUUCCUGACACUGAAUCACGAAAGCCGGGGGAGCAAACAGG
rnacentral:rRNA from 1 species